rnacentral:rRNA from 1 species
AACGUAGGUGGCAAGCGUUAUCCGGAUUUACUGGGCGUAAAGGGUGUGCAGGCGGGGUAGCAAGUGGGGUGUGAAAGCCCUGGGCUUAACCUGGGAAUUGCAGUCGAUACUACUCGGCUCGAGUAUGGGAGAGGGCAGUGGAAUUCCCGGUGUAGCGGUGAAAUGCGUAGAUAUCGGGAGGAACAUCAGUGGCGAAGGCGGCUGCCUGGCCCAAUACUGACACUCAGGUGCGACAGCGUGGGGAGCAAACAGG